rfam:TPA: Bos taurus chromosome 1, whole genome shotgun sequence.
UCCCUGGUGGCUCCAAUGGUAAAGCAUCUGCCUGCAGUGCAGGAGACCUGGGUUCAAUCCCUGGGUUGGGAA